GAUGAACGCUGGCGGCGUGCCUAAUACAUGCAAGUCGAGCGAACGGACGAGAAGCUUGCUUCUCUGAUGUUAGCGGCGGACGGGUGAGUAACACGUGGAUAACCUACCUAUAAGACUGGGAUAACUUCGGGAAACCGGAGCUAAUACCGGAUAAUAUUUUGAACCGCAUGGUUCAAAAGUGAAAGACGGUCUUGCUGUCACUUAUAGAUGGAUCCGCGCUGCAUUAGCUAGUUGGUAAGGUAACGGCUUACCAAGGCAACGAUGCAUAGCCGACCUGAGAGGUGGUUCGCCCCCCCGGGAACGGGGCCACGUUCCAGCCUCCUCCGGGAGGCGGCAGUGGGGAUUCUUCGGCAUUGGGCGAAAGCCUAACGGAGCAACGCCGCGUAAGUGAUGAAGGUCUUCGGUUCGUAAAACUCUGUUAUUAGGGAAGAACAAAUGUGUAAGUACUGUGCACAUCUUGACGGUACCUAAUCAGAAAGCCACGGCUAACUACGUG
rnacentral:rRNA from 1 species